rnacentral:rRNA from 1 species
CUGAGGGUGCCCGCGAGACUGUCAACGAGGGGAGUGAGCGCCGGCGCGGAGGCGGGCGGGCCCGCAGCUCGAGCGGCCACGGUGAUCAGCCCCGAGGAGGCCGUGGAGUGGGUCAAGAAGGACCGGAGGCGCCUGCUCCACGUCGUCUACCGCGUCGGCGAUCUUGACAAGACUAUCAAGUUUUAUACGGAGUGCUUAGGGAUGAAGCUGCUGCGGAGAAGGGACAUCCCGGAGGAGAGGUACACCAACGCCUUUCUUGGGUACGGACCAGAGGACUCGCAUUUUGUUGUGGAGCUCACUUACAACUAUGGUGUCGAAAGUUACGAUAUUGGGUCUGGUUUUGGUCAUUUUGGAAUUGCUGUUGAGGAUGUCGAAAAAACAGUGGAACUUAUUAAAGCCAAGGGAGGAACAGUAACAAGGGAGCCAGGUCCGGUAAAAGGUGGAAAGUCAGUCAUUGCCUUCAUUGAAGAUCCUGAUGGUUACAAAUUUGAGCUUAUAGAAAGAGGUCCCACACCCGAGCCUUUGUGCCAAGUAAUGCUUCGAGUGGGAGAUCUUGAUCGUGCUAUAAGUUUCUAUGAGAAGGCAUUUGGUAUGGAACUUCUUCGCAGGAAAGACAAUCCUCAAUACAAGUAUACCAUUGCUAUGAUGGGAUAUGGCCCUGAAGACAAACAUGCUGUACUGGAGUUGACAUACAAUUAUGGUGUGAAGGAAUAUGAUAAAGGAAAUGCUUAUGCACAGAUUGCUAUUGGUACUGAUGAUGUCUACAAGACCGCGGAAGUCGUUAGACAAAAUGGGGGACAAAUAACUCGUGAACCUGGUCCAUUACCUGGCAUUAGUACCAAGAUAACUGCCUGCACAGAUCCAGAUGGCUGGAAAUCAGUAUUUGUUGACAAUCUAGAUUUUCUCAAGGAGUUGGAAGAAUGA